rnacentral:rRNA from 1 species
AACGGCCGUACCAUGCUGAAUAUACCGGUUCUCGUUAGAUCACCGAAAGUUAAGCAUCAUUGGGCGCAGUCAGUACUUGGUGGGUGACCACCUGGGAACACUGCGUGCCGUU